rnacentral:misc_RNA from 1 species
UUGAUUUUUUAAUUUGUACUCAGAUUCCAAGUUGAGCUGGUUUGAAGGUCCUCUGGCGGGCGCUCCCCGGCGUGAGCCGGAGGCGGCCUAGGGCCGCGGCCCGCCAAAGCAACGGUAAAUAGGUUUACAAAGGGUGGGAGCGGGCGCCUGGGAGGCACCGAACUCGGUAAUGAUCCUUCCGCAGGUUCACCUACGGAAA